rnacentral:rRNA from 1 species
CCUACGGGCGGCAGCAGUGGGGAAUAUUGGGCAAUGGGCGCAAGCCUGACCCAGCAACGCCGCGUGAAGGAAGAAGGUUUUCGGGUCGUAAACCUCUUUUUUCAGGGAAGAGUAGAAGACGGCACCUGCCGAAUAAGCCAUGGCUAACUACGUGCCAGCAGCCGCGGUAAUACGUAGGUGGCAAGCGUUGUCCGGAUUUACUGGGUGAAAAGGGCGUGUAGCCGGGUUGACAAGUCAGAUGUGAAAUCCUGCGGCUUAACCGCAGAACUGCAUUUGAAACUGUUGAUCUUGAGUACUGGAGAGGCAGAUGGAAUUCCUGGUGUAGCGGUGAAAUGCGUAGAUAUUAGGAGGAACACCAGUGGCGAAGGCGGUCUGCUGGACAGAAACUGACGGUGAGGCGCGAAAGCGUGGGGAGCAAACAGGAUUAGAUACCCGGGUAGUC